CCUACGGGAGGCAGCAGUGGGGAAUAUUGGACAAUGGGCGAAAGCCUGAUCCAGCAAUUCCGCGUGUGUGAAGAAGGCCUUCGGGUUGUAAAGCACUUUAGUGGGGGAAGAAACAGCUUGGCCACACCAAGCCUUGACGGUACCCCAAGAAUAAGCACCGGCUAACUCUGUGCCAGCAGCCGCGGUAAUACAGAGGGUGCAAGCGUUAAUCGGAUUUACUGGGCGUAAAGGGUGCGUAGGUGGCUAUUUAAGUCGGAUGUGAAAGCCCGGGGCUCAACCUCGGAAUUGCAUUCGAUACUGAGUGGCUAGAGUUCGGUAGAGGGCGGCGGAAUUUCCGGUGUAGCGGUGAAAUGCGUAGAUAUCGGAAGGAACAUCAAUGGCGAAGGCAGCCGCCUGGGCCUGGACUGACACUGAGGCACGAAAGCGUGGGUAGCAAACAGGAUUAGAUACCCUGGUAGUCCACGCCGUAAACGAUGAGAACUUGACGUUGGUUCGUUUUACGAAUCGGUGUCGCNGCUACGACGAUAGUUACUCCGUCCGUCGGGUAGGUACGGCCGCGACGGUAGUAACGUACGAAGAAGUAGACGGCGUGAGACGUGCCGACGGACGACGACGAGGGAGGUAGG
rnacentral:rRNA from 1 species